GGAGACGCCGUAUUUAGUCCGAAAACGUCACUUCCGAUUGCUCCAACCUCAACGGGAAGUGGGCAUACUAGAGUGAACGCGAGAGAACCGUCAAAACAAACUAAAGCACUUUACCCCGAGCUGACUUUUAUAGAUCACAAUGGACGGUGUACAGACUCCUCUGCGGUGUUUUCGGGAAGGUCACCCCGCGGAGAUGUUUGCGGAUGACGGGGUGGAAACUGUGACUUCACGGGAGCAGAAAAAGGUUGAAAAGAGCAUUGAAGAAGUCAUCAAUGUUUACAAGCAAAUCCACAGCAUACCAAAGCCAACUUUGCUGCGGGAUCAGCACUACCAGUAUCUCAAGAAGGGCUUACGGCAUUUAUCAGACUCCUACGAGUGCCUGGAUGCUAGCAGACCAUGGCUUUGCUUCUGGAUUCUUCACAGUCUGGAGUUACUAGACGAGCCUAUCCCCGCCAAUAUGGCCUCGGACGUGUGUCAGUUCCUGUCGCGCUGUCAGAGCCCAACGGGAGGCUUCAGCGGCGGCCCGGCACAGCACGCCCACCUGGCGCCCACCUACGCUGCCAUCAACGCCCUCUGCAUCAUCGGCACAGAGGAAGCUUACAACAUCAUAGACCGGGAAAAACUGUUAGAUUUCCUAUGGUCAGUGAAGCAGCCAGAUGGCUCCUUUGUGAUGCAUGUAGGAGGGGAGGUGGACGUCAGGAGUGCGUAUUGUGCUGCUUCCGUAGCAUCGCUCACAAACAUCCUCACUCCCAGACUCUUUGAUGACACCACCGACUGGAUCCUCAGGUGUCAGAACUGGGAAGGCGGGCUCAGCGGGGUGCCAGGUCUGGAGGCCCACGGCGGGUAUACGUUUUGUGGCACUGCCGCUAUGGUGAUCCUGGGAAAAGAGCACAUGUUGGAUCUCAAAGCCUUACUGAGGUGGGUGGUGAGCAGGCAGAUGCGUUUCGAGGGAGGCUUCCAGGGUCGCUGCAACAAACUGGUGGACGGCUGCUACUCCUACUGGCAGGCUGGACUCCUGCCGCUCCUCCACAGAGCGCUCUUCAAAGAAGGGGAGUCGGAGCUGAGUCGACACAGGUGGAUGUUCGAGCAGCAAGCCUUGCAGGAGUACAUCCUCCUCUGCUGCCAGAACCCGGCAGGGGGGCUGCUAGAUAAGCCUGGCAAGUCCAGAGACUUCUACCACACGUGUUACUGUCUGAGCGGCCUCUCCAUAGCGCAGCAUUUUGGGAACAUGGACAGCCAUCACGAGAGCGUCCUGGGCAAGGAGGAGAACAGAUUGGUGAGGCGGAUAGCAAAUGACACUAAAAAAUCUAUUUGUUGAGGAAACUGCGUGGCCGGCUAGCUAGGUUAGCAUUAAGACAUUAGCUGGGUGUCAAUUCACACACUUCCCUUUUGUACUUACAUUUCGAGUACAGAAAAUAUACCUCAAACCAAACCACCAUGGCAAAUAGGAAUAGUGAUAACAACCAUAGCAUCUGGGUGAUCUGUGCUGUAGGCAUGCAUUUAUAGAAUGCUAACAAAAAUUAAAUGUAGUCCUUUUGUAUGUAGGAAACGAUGUUACUUGAAUUCUAACUAAAUGUUUCAAUUCCAUGAUGUUUUUCUCUUCUACAUUUCGAUGCAAAUGUCUAACGAGAGGCUUUGACAGACGAGGCGUUUUGGGUGGAGUUGAGAAGUAAUUGAAAUGUGAAAAACCGUGGCAUGUGGUUUCGCUUAAAAGACGUGAAUGGCACCAGCUGUGGUGUCGCUUGCCAUUUCCUGUUACAUCACCGCCACCUUCGGCCCGGCUACAAAGUCCGUCCCUCAUGCAUGCUAUGAAGCGUGGAGAUUCCUAGGAAACAACAGCCUAAGUGUGUUACAGAGCCUACUGGCAUUUUUCUUUCCUGAGCUAUUUUGGCGGUUUUUAAUCAACGUGGACCGCAUUUUUUUUUUCAAUAGUCAUUUCUGUUCUUGCGUAAAAUGGCAAAGCUAAACAAAAACACAUUUGUUCCUUAUGAAAAUUCUAACCGCUGAGAAUACAUUUAUACCACAUGUAUCUGAAACUAAUGCAGUGUUUUGAAUUAAGUUGGUUGGGACUACUGGUUGUAUUUUUUUAUUCGUCCACUAGAUGCCGCCAGUUUUCCCCAUUCAAAUCAUGCAAGUUGCCUUUCUAAUGAAAAUCAAGUAUCAUUCAUUCAUUUUCUACCGCUUUUCCUCACGAGGGUCGCGGGGGGUGCUGGAGCCUAUCCCAGCUGUCUUUGGGCGUGCGGCGGGGUACAGCCUGGACUAGUCGCCGGCCAAUCACAGGGCACAUAUAGACAAACAACCUAUGGACAAUUUGGCGUGGCCAAUUAACCUAGCAUGUUUUUGGAAUGUGUGAGGAAAACCGGAGUACCAGGAGAAAACCCACGCAUACACGGGGAGAACAUGCAAACUCCACACAGAGAUGGCCAAGGGUGGAAUUGAACCCUGGUCUCCUAGCUGUGAGGUCUGCGCGCUAACCACUAACCAACCAACCAUUAUUUACCUACCUAGAGGCUCCAACUCAUCCCGUUUACAACAUCUGCCCAGAGAAGGUGGCUCAGGCUUUGCAGCAUUUCCACCGGCUGCCUGUACUGACACGGAACUCCAGCGAGGACAGACCGUCUGAUGACAGCUCAGCGGACUCUUAGGUUCUUAGUUA